UACGGAGGAUGCAAGCGUUAUCCGGAAUGAUUGGGCGUAAAGCGUCCGCAGGUGGCUGUGUAAGUCUGCUGUCAAAGAGCAAAGCUCAACUUUGUAAAGGCAGUGGAAACUACACGGCUAGAGUGCGUUCGGGGCAGAGGGAAUUCCUGGUGUAGCGGUGAAAUGCGUAGAGAUCAGGAAGAACACCGGUGGCGAAGGCGCUCUGCUAGGCCGCAGCUGACACUGAGGGACGAAAGCUAGGGGAGCGAAUGGG
rnacentral:rRNA from 1 species